rnacentral:rRNA from 1 species
GUGGGGAAUAUUCCGCAAUGGACGAAAGUCUGACGGAGCAACGCCGCGUGAGUGAUGAAGGUUUUCGGACUGUAAAGCUCUGUUGUUUAGGACGAAAGUGCCUGUUGCAAAUAGUUACAGGUAUUGACGGUACUGAACGAGGAAGCCACGGCUAACUACGUGCCAGCAGCCGCGGUAAUACGUAGGUGGCAAGCGUUGUCCGGAAUUAUUGGGCGUAAAGAGCAUGUAGGCGGGAAUCUAAGUCUGUUGUGAAAAUGCGGGGCUCAACCCCGUAUUGCGAUGGAAACUGGGUUUCUUGAGUGCAGGAGAGGAAAGGGGAAUUCCCAGUGUAGCGGUGAAAUGCGUAGAUAUUGGGAGGAACACCAGUGGCGAAGGCGCCUUUCUGGACGAAAACUGACGCUGAGGCGCGAAAGCCAGGGGAGCGAACGGGAUUAGAAACCCUGGUAGUCC